AUUGAACGCUGGCGGCAGGCCUAACACAUGCAAGUCGAACGAGUGGCGGACGUGUUAGUAAUGACUGGGCAACUGCCUGAUGGAGGGGGACAACUACUGGGAACGGUAGCUACUACCGCCCACCAUCAGAUGUGCCCCGGUGGGAGUAGCUUGUUGGUGGGGUAACGGCUCACCAAGGCGACGAUCCCUACCUGGUCUGAGAGGAUGACCAGCCACACUGGAACUGAGACACGGUCCAGACUCCUACGGGAGGCAGCAGUGGGGAAUAUUGCACAAUGGGCGCAAGCCUGAUGCAGCCAUGCCGCGUGUGUGAAGAAGGCCUUCGGGUUGUAAAGUACUUUCAGCGGGGAGGCGUUACCAGCAGAAGAAGCACCGGCUAACUCCGUGCCAGCAGCCGCGGUAAUAC
rnacentral:rRNA from 1 species